UGCCUCGCGCCAAAGAUAGAUAUAACUAGUCCGUAAUAGAUGGAUACAGUCUAAGGAAAAAACGUGCCUCAAAAAUCAAUAAAAUUUUAUUCUCGAUCAGAUGGCGCCACUACCUUUGGCCUACUCUCGGAUAGAUGGCGUUGACGGUUUCGUUUGUUAUUAAACAAUUUUAACGCAUAUCAGUAAAAGAACAUGGGUCAAAAUGCGUUAAAAUUAUAAAUAACAAACGAAACCGUCAACGCCCUCUAUACGAGAGUAGGCCAAAACUAGUGGCGCCAUCUGAUUGAGAAUCAAAUUUUCGAUAUUUUCGAGGCACGUUUUUUCCUUAGACUGUAUCCAUCUAUUACUGAGUUAUAUCUAUCUUUGCUAUGACAGUACCGCUCUAUCCUAUUAUAUCCUCUUUGCCUCGCGCGUAUGCUCGCUCUGUGUGGACCCGGCUGUUGGAAUUUCGAUUUUAUUUUAAGUAAUUAAAUUAUAUGACGAAAGUUCUCCAGGAGCCGGUUCCAGGGGUAUAAAUGUGCCGCUUGAAGUUUACCCUUUAAACGCCACGCCUAUCGUGCGCGGCUCGUCAUUGUGAACCUUGCCAGAAUACACGAAGGUUGAUAUUGGGCUGUAGCCGUGCGCGUAAGUUGACAUAUUUGUUUGGCGGUCAAAGGGUUUAACCUUUUCGACGCAAAAGCUGUCAUCCAGACGCCACGUCACCAGUGUCAAAAGUGAAAUUGAACUUUAUGCAUAUGCACGUAGGACGUAGGUCUAUGUUGCUCUGUGGUCUAUGACCAAUUAAUCGGUCUUGUAUAUAUCGCGGUCAUUGGCGUCCAAAAGGUUAAGGCCGGCUUGCAUGCCGGAAAGAAUAAUAGAUCGCAGAAGCGAUUCAACCUCGCGACUUAGUCGCAAUAAUAAAUUUCUAUAGAAAGUAACAUAUGGGCCCUGUUUGAAGUUUAGUGUAAGUUCUGGUUGUUCAAAUUCCUCGUACUGAUAUAAAACCAAAUAUUAAAUGUGUAUAAUUUAUCUUUUUCUAGUAUUAGGUGGAGUUUUGCCACUGUGGAUUUAUAAAUUUGUUUUAAUUUUCUAGUAAAUAGUUACAGAAAGCAGUUUUGUCCGUUUUGAACUUUAAUUGCAUUGAAAUUGAGUUGAAGGGAUAACAAAUGCUUACUUUUUUAAAUAACUGUUCUAAAUCUAAGACAGAUCAUUUCUUGAUAUAAAUAUUUUAUUCUCACUGUUUGGCAGCCCAUGAAAUUUGGAACUAUUCACAAAAAAAUCAUUCAAACAAAAUAAUGACUUAUGCAACAUACGUACGUGUAUAUAGACUAGACUGUAUGUUUAAUAAAAUAUUUAUAAACCACAAUAAUAUAAUAAUCCACAGUGGGUAACUUGUUCGACGUAGGUUAAAAAUGUAUUUAAUGUGAUGAAAAAACAUGAAAUUAAAAAAAAAAUAAUUAGGGAUUAUAUAGCUGGUCAAGCUAAUCUUGUCAGUAGAAAAAGGCGGCAAAUUUAAAAAAUGUAGGCGCGAAAGGAUAUCGUCCCAUAGAAAAUUUGAAUUUCGCGCCUUUUCCUACUGACAAGAUUUGCUUGAUCAACUAUAUUUAUUAAAUCUCGAUAACGAUUCAUAUAGCGUUUUUAAGCCUGUGGUUUUCGACCAGGAACACUUUUUGUUAGGAAAAUUGGUGUUAAUUACCUUUUGCACUAUUCACAUAGGUAGUCUCUUUUUACGUUGUCGCUAUGCUAAUAGGAAAUAAGUUUUUGGCAAAAAAAUAUUUUUCUGUACAAGCUUUUAUCGCUGACUGUACUUUUCUUUCCACAGGCAACUAAUACUCAUCGAGACAAUUCUAACAACCCUUAACACGAUUAGUUUGCGUUGUUUUAUCAUUAUCAGAGUUCCCAUGGCAUGGCCACCACCUGUCUCCAUCACCAGAUCAGCUCCAUGUCAUCAUAAUAUUGCAUUGUCAUCCGAUUUACAUUAUGUAUGCAAAAUUUCAGCUUGAUCGGAAAUCGGGAAGUGAGUUAAAUUUAGUUUCCAAGAUUUGACUCACACUAACAUACCUAACAGGGCAAGUUAAAUAAAAGCUUGUUAAAAGUAAUUAGGAUUUCAUUUAGAGAGGGAUCAAACCCACAAGGAUUCAUCAAAAAAUUUGAACAUGUCUAAAACAAGAUUACGAUUUUAAUGAAUCUUCAAUUUUGAAAUCUUUUCGCUGAAUAUUCCCAAUAAGUUCUAAAUAUUUCCAAUUUGCGACUGAGUUGAAAGCGAACCAUUAGCCCACGUGUUCACUAUAAAUAAUUUUGUUUAUAAAGAGUGUUGGUAAACAAAGUUUCUCAGAAAUUGUUUGGUACGUAUUACUUCAUUACUACUAGUAAACGGUUGUGGUGUUUAUGGGGAAUACGUGUAGCUCUAGCAUACCAGUAUGACCAUACAGUGACCAAGCAACAUAUUAGGAGCAAGUGAAGAUAUUUUUGGGCACCCUUUCCUGUUAUGAUAAGUGACGACGAAAUAUGCAGAUAUUAUUGUCCUCACGUUAAACAUAGGCAUAGAAACGUUAAUCUGAAUUUAGUAAUCAUUGCAUAGUUACUUUUCUUGCCCGGUAGUUUUCCAGUGUGUAAAUAAUGGAUAGUUUUUAUAGCAGAUAUAUAAUACUGGGUAUAGCCACAAUUUCUGUUACGAAGUCACAUUCAGUGCCAGUUCGUGCUACGCGCUAUGAGCGUAGCCGAUAACAUGAUGGGAAAAUGCGUAUCAUGCUACAUACGCAUACGAAAAGCGACUACGGACUGAAGCCCUGGCGGGUUGCUGGCAGUGAAUGCGUUAACCAUUGUCCAUAUCCCAUAUAUUAAUUAAACACUAUUUUAAUUAAAUGGGAGGUCUGUCUAAUUCACAUUUCAACAAAACUUAUGUCUAGAUUGGGUAGAAAAUUGCUGAUUAUUAGUUCGUGACUUUGCGGGUAUGAAAUGACGAGAAUACGUAAGUUUCAACAAUUGGUGAAAACAUUCCCGAGUGAAGUAUAGACACCAGUUAAUUCUAAAGCCAGUUAUUUAAAAGGAUAAAAUCAAAAUUGUAAAAUAAAAUAAUAUGUAGUAUUUAAUUAAGGCUUUUUAGCAAUAUUCGGAUUGUGAAUUUUUGGAUGCAAAAUAUGUUGGCAUACUCAGCACUAAAUUAUACAAAGUUGUAUUAACAUGAAUACAAAGAUGAGCAUUUUGUAAUUAAGGUUUAUGGAUAUUUAUUUGAUAUUACAGCAUGCAUAGCGGAUCGUUCGUACUGUGAUAUUCCAUGGUUUGUUUAAUUUUGAGCUAACAAUAAAUUUUUAAAACAUAA